AAGGAGGAAUGUUCACAAAUUCAAACUUGGUCAGAAAAUGCCUGAGGAGAAGUUUGUUUUCAGGAAUUUCUUUUCCCCCUGGUUAUCGAAACGAGAAGACAGAAAAUAGCUCUCUUUCAGGAGAAAGAGUCCAUAAUAUCUAGUCAGAGGGGAGCGUGUUCUGAAACAAGUACUGCCUUCAGGAUUCUAAGAGCCAACAUGUCCGUGACGCAGACGAGGACUCACAAGGGAGUAAUUGAUCCCACUGGGGGAUCAGGAGACAAAGUAUGAGGCAGGUAAAAAAACACACAAGCUACUGCUGAAAUAUUUCUUUUUUUUUUUUUUUUAAAGAUUUUAUUUUAAAGUAAUCUACAUUCAGCAUGGGGCUUGAACUCGCACCCCGAGAUCAAGAGUCACAUGUCCUACCAACCGAGCCAGCCAGGCACCCCUGAAAUACUUCUUUAAAAGCAAAGAAACCAAAUCCUAUUUCUUUGUAUAUAUUGUUAUUUUUACUUAUUUUAGUUAUUGGGGAGAUUAAAUGAAUUUAAACUAA